rnacentral:rRNA from 1 species
UACGGGGGGAGCAAACGUUGUUCGGAAUCACUGGGCGUAAAGGGCGCGUAGGCGGCCCGCUAAGUCGAACGUGAAAUCCCCGGGCUCAACCCGGGAACUGCGUCCGAUACUGGCAGGCUUGAAUCCGGGAGAGGGAUGCGGAAUUCCAGGUGUAGCGGUGAAAUGCGUAGAUAUCUGGAGGAACACCGGUGGCGAAGGCGGCAUCCUGGACCGGCAUUGACGCUGAGGCGCGAAAGCCAGGGGAGCAAACGGG